rnacentral:tRNA from 2 species
AAGGUACUAGUAAAAUGCUAUAACAUUUCCUUGUCAAGGAAAAGUCGCAAGUUGAAGUCUUGCGUAUCUUA